rnacentral:rRNA from 1 species
CCUACGGGAGGCAGCAGUCGAGAAUCAUUCACAAUGGGGGAAACCCUGAUGGUGCGACGCCGCGUGGGGGAAUGAAGGUCUUCGGAUUGUAAACCCCUGUCAUGUGGGAGCAAAUUAAAAAGAUAGUACCACAAGAGGAAGAGACGGCUAACUCUGUGCCAGCAGCCGCGGUAAUACAGAGGUCUCAAGCGUUGUUCGGAAUCACUGGGCGUAAAGCGUGCGGAGGCUGUUUCGUAAGGCGUGUGUGAAAGGUGCGGGCUCAACCCGCGGACGGCACAUGAUACUGCGAGACUAGAGUAAUGGAGGGGGAACCGGAAUUCUCGGUGUAGCAGUGAAAUGCGUAGAUAUCGAGAGGAACACUCGUGGCGAAGGCGGGUUCCUGGACAUUAACUGACGCUGAGGCACGAAGGCCAGGGGAGCGAAAGGGAUUAGAUACCCCGGUAGUC